AAUAGGGACAAACGGUGAUUCACAUGGCCGAGAGGUGAUGAGGUCUGCUCCUAGAGCAGGACACUGGGUAAUCCCAUGCUUCCUAGAAAAGCCGCGUGCAGAGCCUCUUUGGUGAUCGUACUGUAAACCGACUCAGGUGGGCGGGAAGAAUAUUCCAAGGCGCGUGAGAGAACCCCGGUUAAGGAACUCGGCAAAUUGACACCGUAACUUCGGGAGAAGGUGUGCCGUUGCUGGUCAGUGACUUCGCGUUACGAAGCCGGUGACGGUCGCAGUGAAAUGGCGGUUGUGACUGUUUACUAAAAACACAGGACUCUGCGAACUCGUAAGAGGACGUAUAGGGUCUGAUGCCUGCCCGGUGCUGGAAGGUUAAGGGAAUACGUCAGGAGCAAUCCGAAGCGUUGAACCGAAGCCCCAGUAAACGGCGGCCGUAACAAUAACGGUCCUAAGGUAGCGAAAUUCCUUGUCGGGUAAGUUCCGACCUGCACGAAGGCAUAACAACAUCCGCACUGUCUCGAUCGGGGACUCAGCGAAAUUGCAUUGGGGGUGAAGGUGCCCUCUACCCGCGGCAAGACGGAAAGACCCCAUGAACCUUUACUGCAACUUGGCAGUGGUGUUCGGUUUGUCCUGCGUAGGAUAGGUGGGAGGCUUUGAAGCCGGGCUUCCGGGUUCGGCAGAGCCAACGUUGAAAUACCACCCUGGAUAAUCUGGAUACCUAACCUCCACCCGUAAUCCGGGUGAGGGACACUGCCUGGUGGGCAGUUUGACUGGGGCGGUCGCCUCCUAAAUUGUAACGGAGGCGCGCGAAGGUUCCCUCAGGCUGAUUGGAAACCAGCCGUAGAGUGCAAACGCAUAAGGGAGCUUUACUGUGAGACCGACAGGUCAAUCAGUUGCGAAAGCAGGCGUUAGUGAUCCGGUGGUACCACAUGGACGGGCCAUCGCUCAUCGGAUAAAAGGUACUCUGGGGAUAACAGGCUGAUCGCGCCUGAGAGUUCACAUCGGCGGCGCGGUUUGGCACCUCGAUGUCGGCUCAUCGCAUCCUGGGGCUGGAGCAGGUCCCAAGGGUUUGGCUGUUCGCCAAUUAAAGCGGUACGCGAGCUGGGUUUAAAACGUCGUGAGACAGUUUGGUCCCUAUCUGCCGUGGGCGUAGGAUACUUGAGAGGAGCUACCCAUAGUACGAGAGGACCUGGGUGGACGAGCCUCUGGCGUUCCGGUUGUCAGGCCACUGGCAUAGCCGGGUAGCCAUGCUCGGAACAGAUAACCGCUGAAAGCAUAUAAGCGGGAAGCUGGCAUCAAGACUAGGUGUCCCUGCCGCAAGGCACUAAAGGCCCCUUGAAGACUACAAGGUUGAUAGGCUGGAUGUGGAAGCGCUGCAAGGCGUGGAGCAGACCAGUACUAAUAGGCCGUGCGGCUUGACCAA
rnacentral:rRNA from 1 species